GGGAUAAUAGUUAAAAAUAACAUUUAAAUUGCAAUUAAAAAAUAUUGACUAUCAAUCAAUUUAUCUCA
rnacentral:tRNA from 1 species